rnacentral:rRNA from 1 species
CAGCAGCCACGGUAAUACGAAGGGGGCUAGCGUUGCUCGGAAUGACUGGGCGUAAAGGGCGCGUAGGCGGAAUGCUUUGUCGGGCGUGAAAUUCCAGGGCUCAACCUGGGGGCUGCGCUUGAUACUUGGUUGCUUGAGUGGGGAAGAGGGUCGUGGAAUUCCCAGUGUAGAGGUGAAAUUCGUAGAUAUGUGGAGGAAUACCGAUGGCGAAGGCAGCCCCCUGGGCCAAUACUGACGCUCAUGCACGAAAGCGUGGGGAGCAAACAGGAUUAGAUACCCCAGUAGUCCCUGUCUCUUAUAC